rnacentral:rRNA from 1 species
GACAGGAGGGUGCAAACGUUGUUCGGAAUUACUGGGCGUAAAGCGCGUGUAGGCGGCUAAGUAAGUCGGGCGUGAAAUCCCACGGCUCAACCGUGGAAGUGCACUCGAAACUGCAUAGCUAGAGUCCUGGAGAGGAAGGUGGAAUGCUUGGUGUAGAGGUGAAAUUCGUAGAUAUCAAGCGGAACACCGGUGGCGAAGGCGGCCAACUGGACGAAUACUGACGCUGAGACUCGAAAGCGUGGGGAGCAAACAGG